GCGAGAAUGGCGGAAUUGGUAGACGCGCUAGGUUGAGGGCCUAGUUCCCGCAAGGGAGUGGGGGUUCGACUCCCCCUUCUCGCA
rnacentral:tRNA from 3 species